rnacentral:tRNA from 1 species
GAAGACCUGCAGGACCUUCUCCUACAUCAUCUAAAUGCAACUCAGAUAUUUUAAUUAAAAUAAGGCCUU